ensembl:snRNA U2 U2 spliceosomal RNA
AUCCCUUCUUUGCCUGUUGGCUAAACUCAAAUGGGGUAUCUCCUUACCAGUGAAAGCAUCUGUUGUAUUCUCCAUUUGUGCACUGGGCAUUAAAUUAAUGUUUGGAAUUAGGAGAUGAAUCGGAAGCUUGCUCUGUCUACUCCCAGCCUCAGCCUGCAACAGCUUUACUUCCAGGAAUGGUGAAUUCCUU